GAUGAACGCUGGCGGCGUGCCUAAUACAUGCAAGUCGAGCGAACGGACGAGAAGCUUGCUUCUCUGAUGUUAGCGGCGGACGGGUGAGUAACACGUGUAUAACCUACCUAUAAGACUGGGAUAACUUCGGGAAACCGGAGCUAAUACCGGAUAAUAUUUUGAACCGCAGGGUUCAAAAGUGAAAGACGGUCUUGCUGUCACUUAUAGAUGGAUCCGCGCUGCAUUAGCUAGUUGGUAAGGUAACGGCUUACCAAGGCAACGAUGCAUAGCCGACCUGAGAGGGUGAUCGGCCACACUGGAACUGAGACACGGUCCAGACUCCUACGGGAGGCAGCAGUAGGGAAUCUUCCGCAAUGGGCGAAAGCCUGACGGAGCAACGCCGCGUGAGUGAUGAAGGUCUUCGGAUCGUAAAACUCUGUUAUUAGGGAAGAACAUAUGUGUAAGUAACUGUGCACAUCUUGACGGUACCUAAUCAGAAAGCAACGGCUAACUACGUG
rnacentral:rRNA from 1 species